UUACUGAUCUCUGUUAUUAUUCAUUAAUUUAAUGCUGGAUUUUAUGUCAUUUGACAUUGUUUUCCCUUCCAAUUAUGUGCUUUAGUGGAUUUAUAAGAGGGCCUGGAGACAGUCCGAAGCCAAUCACGUUUUCAUUUCACGGAAAAUUUAAGCAGGGACCAUUGCUUUCUGUGUGUUGGAGCAGUGGGUUUUGUUGCACUUACCCCCUCUUGUUUCGUUCCCAUAUGCUUCCAUGACGAGGAUUUCUGUGAGAUUUUGUUGUUUGUACACGAUUUGGAGAAAUUCGAAGUUAAUGUCAUUAAUUCAAUUUUUUUUUAUUACUUGAGUUGUUUUACCUUCAAAUUAUAGGGAUUGUAAUUGGAUUCUAACAUCUAUGAAAAUUAUCCAUAUUAGACGUGGUAUUUAUUCUUCA